ncrna:unclassified sequences DTF3800-XI RNA
UGGGCUGAUCGAAAGAUCCUGGUCCACCGCAGGCGGGGGGUUCCCCC